rnacentral:rRNA from 1 species
GGGCCCGCACAAGCAGCGGAGCAUGUGGUUUAAUUCGAAGCAACGCGAAGAACCUUACCAGGGCUUGACAUCCACAUAACACUAUAGAGAUAUGGUGGUGCCCUUCGGGGAAAUGUGAGACAGGUGGUGCAUGGUUGUCGUCAGCUCGUGUCGUGAGAUGUUGGGUUAAGUCCCGCAACGAGCGCAACCCUUGUCAUUAGUUGCUAACAUUUAGUUGAGCACUCUAAUGAGACUGCCGGGGACAACUCGGAGGAAGGUGGGGAUGACGUCAAAUCAUCAUGCCCCUUAUGUCCUGGGCUACACACGUGCUACAAUGGCUGUAACAAUGAGAUGCAAGAUGGCAACAUGGAGCAAAUCUACAAAUACAGUCCCAGUUCGGAUUGAGGGCUGCAACCCGCCCUCAUGAAGCUGGAGUUGCUAGUAAUCGCGAAUCAGCAUGUCGCGGUGAAUACGUUCCCGGGCCUU